rnacentral:rRNA from 1 species
GACGAACGCUGGCGGCGUGCUUAACACAUGCAAGUCGAACGGAAAGGCCCUGCUUUUGUGGGGUGCUCGAGUGGCGAACGGGUGAGUAACACGUGAGUAACCUGCCCUUGACUUUGGGAUAACUUCAGGAAACUGGGGCUAAUACCGGAUAGGAGCUCCUGCUGCAUGGUGGGGGUUGGAAAGUUUCGGCGGUUGGGGAUGGACUCGCGGCUUAUCAGCUUGUUGGUGGGGUAGUGGCUUACCAAGGCUUUGACGGGUAGCCGGCCUGAGAGGGUGACCGGCCACCAUGGGACCGAGGUACGGCCCCGAACCCUACGGGGGGCAAGCGUGGGGAAUAUUGCCCAAUGGGGGGGAGCCUGAUGCAGCAACCCCGGGUGCGGGAUGAACGGCUUCGGGGUGUAAACCGCUUUCGCCUGUGACGAAGCGUGAGUGACGGUAAUGGGUAAAGAAGCCCCGGCUAACUACGUG